GAUGAACGCUGGCGGCGUGCUUAACACAUGCCAGUCGAACGGGAUCCAAGGGGUGCUUGCACUUUUUGGUGAGAGUGGCGAACGGGUGAGUAACACGUGAGUAACCUGUCCUUUUCUUUGGGAUAAGCAUUCGAAAGGGUGUUUAAUACCUUAUGUUCUGUCUGCCUCGCAUGGGGUGGGUGGGAAAGGCUUUGGCCGGAUUUGGGUGGGCUCGCGGUCUAUCAGCUUGUUGGUGGGGUGAUGGCUUACCAAGGCUUUGACGGGUAGCCGGCCUGAGAGGGUGGUCGGUCACAUUGGGACUGAGAUACGGCCCAGACUCCUGCGGGAGGCAGCAGUGGGGGAUAUUGCACAAUGGGCGAAAGCCUGAUGCAGCGACGCCGCGUGGGGGAUGAAGGCCUUCGGGGUGUAAACUUCUUUUGCUCUGAACAAGGCAUGCCAGUGGGUGUGUUGAGUGUAGGGGUUGAUUAGCGCCGGCUAACUACGUG
rnacentral:rRNA from 1 species